UGAGUCUUAAAGAAUCAUGAAAGAUGGAAACUCACGGCAGCGUGGUUUUGCUGACAGACCAAGGUUAACAUAGACCCCAGAGGAAUCUCUCCCAUCGGACCAGAGUCCCACAGAACAAUAUUUCAUUGCAAAAAUUUCAUCCUCUGGCAAGACCCAAGACAUUUUGUGUGCCCUUAAUAGGAAUUUAAGCUUGCUUUAGCCCACGUCAUUUGUAAUUGUCAGAACGACACGAACGUGGACAUAUUGAGAUGCAUGGCCCCACUGUGCAUGAAGUCUGAAGGUCGUCAGAAGAGAGGAGGAGUCGAGGACAUCAGGGACACUCCUGUACCUGAAGAGGAUUCUGAUAGAGCUCAAGCAUCAGCCCCUCCUGCCUGUCUCCUGCACACCGUGGCUUGAUUACUCCACCGAUGACUCCUUACUUCCUAUCUUCAACCCAGGUCUCUCUUUGGAAUUCCAGACUUGUACAUCCAGAGGUCACCUUGCUGUGCCACAGACCCUUCCAUAUUAACAUAACCCAGCAAACCCGUGAUGUCCUCCAACUGCUCUUCCCCAUCUCAGUGGAUGGCACCAUCAUUCAUGCGAUUAGGCGUCUCGGACACCUACAUAACUGUGGCGCUUUAUUCUUCGUUACUUCUCUAACUCUGUCAGCACGUCCUACUGAUUCUGCCUCCUCAAAUAGGUAUUACACUUACGGACUUCUCUCUUCCUCUGUGACCACCACGCUAGUCUAAGGUGUCAUCUCCUGCUCUCACUGUAGCAAUAGCUUCCCAACUAUCCUCUUUCUUUCCUGGGGCCUCCAGCAGGUUCUCCACACAGCAGCCAGAGGAAGAUUUUCAGAACACAAAUCUGGUAAGACCCCAUCCUGCUGGACUUUGAUUCUUAAGAUGAAAAAGAAUGCUGCGUGGUCAGGGUAGUCCGGCCCAGGCUACUCCUCUCAGCCUCUUCUGUGACCCUCACUCUAUGCCCCAGCAACUAGGCCGUGAAAGCAAUAUGCCUAGGGGCAUCCGGGUGGCUCAGUUGGUCAAGUGUCCACUUUGGCUCAGGUCAUGAUCUCACAGCUCAUGAGUUCCAUCCUGG